rnacentral:rRNA from 3 species
CACGUAGGGGCCGAGCGUUGUCCGGAUUCAUUGGGCGUAAAGAGCUCGUAGGCGGUUCAGUCAGUCGGGUGUGAAAUCUCCGGGCUCAACUCGGAGGGGCCACCCGAUACUGCUGUGACUUGAGUCCGGUAGGGGAGUGGGGAAUUCCUGGUGUAGCGGUGAAAUGCGCAGAUAUCAGGAGGAACACCGGUGGCGAAGGCGCCACUCUGGGCCGGUACUGACGCUGAGGAGCGAAAGCGUGGGGAGCAAACAGG